UCUCCUUCUAGACUGAAAGCCUAGCGGUGGGGCGGUGGCCAGGCUAUGGCCGCCGCCCCACCGCGGGAGAGAAAGAGGGUUGUGGGCUAGUGGUGGGGAGGCUCAUUUUUGCCGUCAGGAGGGGGUGGCAGUGGCUGAUCUAGUAACCGGAGCAGCUAAAGGUGAGGUAGGAGUGGUAGGAUAGGGGAUUCCUACCAAAGUUGAGGAUGGCAGUGAGACAACAGCAGUAGAAGUAGUGGGGGAGAUGGAGGUUGGAGGUGGUGGAGAGGGCUUGGCCGGUGGAUCUUGACGGUGUCUUCGUGGUGCUGGCGUGGCAAGGUCUUAUCGUGGAAAGGAGUAGUGGCGGUGGGGUGGUUUUUGCGGAGAUCAGGAGGAGAGAGAAAGGCUAGGUGUUAUAUUUGUUGCAUGAAUCACAAAAAAUCCUUGAUGUCUGUGAUUUAACAACAUAUCAGGAUAUCCAAUCUAAAGCAGAGAUCCAACCUGCUUGUGGGACUCUAAAAGAGCAACCAUCCAAAGCUGUUUAUGGAAGCUGCAUUUCUGGUCAAAUGUUUGGACUACAGGAUUCACAAUAUAUAUUGGCCAAGCCAUCCUCAUCUGAAAGAUUCUAUAAUCAUAACUCUGAUGCCAUUGGAUCCAACCAUCUGAAGCUUCAUAGACAAAUAAGUGCUGAUGGAAACGCUGAAUCUAGGUUAGAACUGAACAAAGAUGCUAUUGGAGUUUUAUCAGGUGAAAAGAGUCCAUUAGCCAAAUCAGGAAAGCAGAUUGAGCAACUUAUGGUGAAUGAUCUUUCUGCUCAUCCAUACAACCCUGUGUGUCCUUUUUCUCAAGGUGUUAGUUAUUACAGUUCAUCUUCCCAACACAUUGUGAGCUCAUCAGGAGAAGUCAAAUAUAUUCGAAAUUCAGGUCAAGAAAUGCAAAUUGCUUGUGAUAUUGUAGAAGAACCAUCACAUAUAGCUUUGUAUGGGAGCAAGAACCCUUAUGAAUUGACUGGGCUCGGUAAUCCUCAUGAUAAAUUCAAUGCCCCAUCUUUUUUUUUGAAGGAGUCAAUAUUAGUAGCAUCUCUAGCACUUCAUCAGGGAUGAACUUAUCAACCAAUAGUGCUAAAGAAAAUAAUGAAUACAACCAACUGAAGCUUCAGAAGCAAAUUGAUGGUUAUCAGAGGUUUGAAAUUGGCUCAGGACUGAAUAUGGAUGAUGCUGAUGGCGAUUUAACUGCAACAGGGGUUCCACAAAAAGUGCAGGAUGGGAAAAAUAUGGUGAACACUCUUUUUGUUAAAGCCGUACCAACCUGUAUUUACCGUCUUACAUGGUACUAGUUACAGUUUAUCUUCACUACACCCAAAUAAGUUGAACCAGUUGCUAGAACAUCCUGAGUACCAUUCAAGGUUACAUUGCAUCCAACCUUCACCGCAACCAAUCAUCAAAGAUGUAUCAACAUCAAUGACACUCUAUGUUAAAGAACCAUGCUCUCAAGAAAAUUUUUAUUUGGCGGACAAUUUUCCUAGUCUUCAGGGAUUUGACAAUGUUGCGGAUAACAACCCUAGAAUGUCCGUGCCUCACAACACUGUUGUUUCCGCCAGGAAUGCAAGGAACCAAUCUCCCACCAUGAGUGGUAUGGUGCAUGCUGAUGUUUUAGAAAUCUACUACUCUUUGGAUCAGCAGACUUCAGCUAACAAUAUACAAAUUUAGUAUGCUCUUCAGGCUGCAAGGCAACCAUCACAACCAUUCCUGCAUGCUAAUGUUGCAGAAACAAACUCACCUUUUGGUCACCAGUUUGCAGACAACUUGCUCCUCAGGUUACAACACAACCAUCAAACAUAUCCCUACAUGGGAGCUACAACCGCAGCCUAUGGAUUAGAUCUGUUGGUGAUUUCUAGAUGGAGCUGUUCAAGCCAUCCUCAUCUCACAUAACUAGUAAUGAUGUUAUUUCUGGUGCAUUGCCAAAGAUCAACUUGCAGGGUGGGACAAUGAUAGGAAAAGAUGAUUUAAAACAUAAAAAUCUUCAUGGACAAAUUGGUUUUCAUGAAAAUGUUGCAUCUCACUAUUUUGGCAUGAACCCUGAGUUGCCAAGGAUAUCAUCUUUUCUACACCAGAAAUGCUCUGAAUUCUUACAACUUAAUAGUGAUGCAAUGAGAUGUUUAACCAGGGUAGAAAAACAAGUUGAGCAAUCUACCAUAAUAGGUCCUCCUUUCCCUUCUGUGACAGUACCCAGUCCUUUGUCAGUAAAUCAUCUUUCUUCCAUGUCCAGGGGUUAUUGUUUAGGCUAUAAGGAUCCUAAUAACCAGGGUAUUGGUUUUUCUCCAAUGUACGAACCAAGUGGAUUCAAUACUAAUUACACCUUGCCUCUGAGAAUGGAAGCACAUGCAAUGGAAUCCUAUGACAUAGAUGCUCUAUCUAAAGCCACUAGACAAAGCUGCCAAGUAUACUUUGAUUCUGAAGAAUGGAGUUCUCAAUGUGUUCAAGAAAUGGACUAGAUGAAGCUACAAAUUCGAACAUGUUGACUGCUUAACAACAACCUCAGAGGAAACAAUAUAGACACCUUGAGAGACAUCAUAAGAAAAUCGUUGCAUCUGAAGCACAGGCGCUACAUAGCAAUGUUGAGACUCCUAUCAGGAUGAACAAAGCUAAGGAAUUCAAUGAAAUAGUAAGGGAUCAAGAAGCAUGCUUCCUUUCAUUUUAUCAUCCUACUCCUAUUCCAUCCCAUGUCUUGAAUAUGUUGCAUUGGUGCUUCGGUAUUGAUAUGGAAAGGAAAAUGCCAUUGCCAAGAGGUAUCCAACACAAUGCUAUGGUACACCAAGGUUUGCUCAUCAGAAUGAUACAUUAGGUUUCAGAAGAUCUUAUGUGGAUUUCCCUCACAGAGAUUAUCUCAAAAGGUUGGACAAUAAGGAGCUAAAUGCCCUGCUAUUCCAAAGGAAGUUUAGUGGUUUAAGCAAAGGGAAUUAUCGGCUUUUUCACAUACAACGCUAUCUAUUUCAAUGCAGGUUUGUCCUCUUUGAUUGCAGCCGAGACCCUCCUAAGCAUUCACAUGCAUGCAAGACUUUUCCCGAUGGUUAAAUUUUGCUAUUCUUUUCUAUUUUCUUUUUUAGCAUUGAUUAGUGUGGGAGCCGCUUUAUACAACAAAAGCUUCAAAAUGCGACACCUGAAGAGAAAUUCAUGGUCUUUGAAGAAAUCAUGCCUGAUGCUAUUGAAUUGGUGAUGGAUAUCUAUGGAAAUUAUGUGCUACAAAAGGUUUUAAUUGCAAUUCUUUUAAUUUUGAUGAUUUUGGUAAACACUACUAAAUUCACACACUUAUACGCUUUACAUUUUCUACUAGAUACACAUUACCUCAUUUUAAAGGAGGAAAAUUACCACAUGCUUUCUUGGAAGUGUUUUAAGCAUAAGCUAUCAAAUGUAUGGAUCUAGGGUAAUCCAAAGGGUAAUGUGUAUUUCCCAUAUCUAAUAUCACUUCAACCUAUUGCAUA